GAGUUUGAUCCUGGCUCAGAUUGAACGCUGGCGGCAUGCCUUACACAUGCAAGUCGAACGGCAGCACGGGAGCUUGCUCCUGGUGGCGAGUGGCGAACGGGUGAGUAAUGCAUCGGAACGUAUCCUGGAGUGGGGGAUAACGUAGCGAAAGUUACGCUAAUACCGCAUAUUCUGUGAGCAGGAAAGCGGGGGACCUUCGGGCCUCGCGCUCUUGGAGCGGCCGAUGUCGGAUUAGCUAGUUGGUGAGGUAAAGGCUCACCAAGGCGACGAUCC
rnacentral:rRNA from 1 species